rnacentral:rRNA from 1 species
CCACCUGACCCCAUGCCGAACUCAGCAGUGAAACGCCGGCGCGCCGAUGGUAGUGUGGGGUCUCCCCAUGUGAGAGUAGGGCACUGCCA